GGUAAAGUGGCUCAGUGGUAGAGUGCGUGCCUUGCAUGCAUGAGGCCCUGGGUUCGAUUCCUCAGCAUCACAU
rfam:Dipodomys ordii contig_36568, whole genome shotgun sequence.